rnacentral:lncRNA from 1 species
UUUGGAAACCAGAUUUACACAAGACAGGAAAAGCAAAGCCACAAGUGGAAGCUAGACAGCAAUAACAUAUACAAAAGCAAAUCAUAUAUUUGUUUGACACCUGUUCAAGCUUUGUAGUAGGUGAGGUAUACACUGAAGUGUAGAAUAGUGUCUUGACCAUCAGUGAUAUGCUGGUUGUUCUGGUUAUGCAGAGUCUCCACUAUAGCAUACCCUUUAGCAUGCUCAAACUUCCCCGUCCCGCCGAUAACAGCAAUCUGAGAGGCAUGAGAGGCUGUCCUGUGAACACCAAAGAAGCUAAUAGCAUCGUCCAAAGUGUCAUGAUGGUCAUGCUCUCUGUCUAGCAACACGGUCAGAGAAAGUGUCUGACUCGUCCCAUCCAAGGAGCUAGCCAGGUAAAACCCCUGAGCCUUCCCUAUAACCGCUGAGCCUAGCUCGUGGCUUUCGGUUAGCUCAUCGUCCACAACGGUUAUGGUUCCAAACAUGAGAUGCUGGAGAGCAGCACCUGGAGGGAGGUUUCCCGCGGUUACAAAGGGGAGACUGUUGGUGCUGAGGGCGUCGUUGGAGUUUGCGUUGGUGUUUUGGAUCACUGUGCUGGUCUGUGCGCCGCCUAGGCCUGUGAGAAGCGGGGCUGUGUUUGGGUUAAUGACGCUGUUGAUGUUGUUUGAGUUGACAAGCGGGACUCCGUAAAAUAAAAAUUUCUUUGGAAACCAGAUUUACACAAGACAGGAAAAGCAAAGCCACAAGUGGAAGCUAGACAGCAAUAACAUAUACAAAAGCAAAUCAUAUAUUUGUUUGACACCUGUUCAAGCUUUGUAGUAGGUGAGGUAUACACUGAAGUGUAGAAUAGUGUCUUGACCAUCAGUGAUAUGCUGGUUGUUCUGGUUAUGCAGAGUCUCCACUAUAGCAUACCCUUUAGCAUGCUCAAACUUCCCCGUCCCGCCG